GAAUAAGGGGAAGGGUUCCUGCAGUCCAAAUUAAGCGUAGUGGUCCUAACAGGAUUGCUUUCCAAAAAUGGUUCUUACUUUUCUUUUACUUCGCAUAUUAUAGGUUAUAUCUUUGAGUGUCGUCGGAAAUCAAAUGAUGAUUAAUUAGUUGAUGCUGCUCAUAAUGUGUCUCUACUUAUAUAUAUCUUUAUAUCAGUGAAACUUGUGGCCUUUCCGUCGCAGUCGCUUUGACUGACAUGUAUUAAUAUGUACAGACAGAUUUUGUACUAACGAAAUCGAUUUGCCAUUGGAGGAAAAGAAGUGUUAAAGUACUGAGGCGUGAAGACCAACCCAGAUCGGCUUUCUGGAUUUUCAUGUAAGUUGUUCACUCCUGUGUCUAUGUCAAUCAUUCAAUUCACAACUCUAUUUUUUUUUAUAACUAUAAUGUCCGGGUCACGCAUUUCGAUUAAUUUCAGUGAUUAUAUGUUACCUCUCAACAACAUAUUCUUCGACAAAGAUAUAUGUUUGUUUAUAUUCUUGACAUAUAAGCCAAAUUGUUUAAUUUGUCAUUAUAUUGUUCGGUUUUAUAUUGUGAAGAACAGGAUGGAUGAUAAUGAACUUGAAGUGGAUGGAAAAGCUAUUGAGAUGUGGAAAACCAUGUCAAAGGAGGUACUUCAUUUGGAUCUAUUGAUGGUACUAAAGCUUUUAUUUGUGUUUCUUAGUCAUUACUGUGCUCUUGUUCAAAUAUGAAAUGUGUUUGAAUCACCAGGUAUUGGGUUCUUCACAUUAUAAAUUUUUAUUAUUGAUGUAUAGACAUUUGGAUUCCUUUUCUGUGCGUCAUAUAUGUUGCUCUUGAAUAUUCCUUGAACGAUAAUGCAGCAGUACUAUUUAAGCAUUUGGCGGUAGUUAAACGACUAGAUUCUUCUGCUCUUAAUUGACUUACUAUAUGACAUUCAUUAUUGAAUUUUCCGGCAACGAGCAACUUGAUAUUAUUUGGAGAAAUCCAAAUUUCAGCCUUGGCGAAUUUAACCAAUGGAAGAGGAGCACUAUAUAUUGCAUUAUAUCUUUGAC
rnacentral:lncRNA from 1 species